rnacentral:rRNA from 1 species
GGAAUCUUCCACAAUGGACGAAAGUCUGAUGGAGCAACGCCGCGUGAGUGAAGAAGGAUUUCGGUUCGUAAAACUCUGUUGCAAGGGAAGAACAAGUAGCGUAGUAACUGGCGCUACCUUGACGGUACCUUGUUAGAAAGCCACGGCUAACUACGUGCCAGCAGCCGCGGUAAUACGUAGGUGGCAAGCGUUGUCCGGAAUUAUUGGGCGUAAAGCGCGCGCAGGUGGUUCCUUAAGUCUGAUGUGAAAGCCCCCGGCUCAACCGGGGAGGGUCAUUGGAAACUGGGGAACUUGAGUGCAGAAGAGGAUAGUGGAAUUCCAAGUGUAGCGGUGAAAUGCGUAGAGAUUUGGAGGAACACCAGUGGCGAAGGCGACUGUCUGGUCUGUAACUGACACUGAGGCGCGAAAGCGUGGGGAGCAAACA